rnacentral:lncRNA from 1 species
CCAGUCAGCAUAUGGGUGUUUCUUCAGUGUGAAGAGAGCUCGAAAAAGAGGAAUUGAAGGUCAGAUUCCCAUCCGAGAGUAAAGAACAAAAAAUCUUAUGAUAUAUCUAAAGGAAUUUGGGGGCACAGAACAGAAAGCAAUCUUAUGAAACCUAAAAAGCUUGAAAAUGAAGAGAAAGAUGGAAAAUCUAAGAUCUGCUCGAAGAUUUUUCUCGUACACCACUAGUCAGCCUAAAGAUGGAUUGUAAACUCGAGCAUCA